ensembl:lncRNA
GGUUCCCAAUGCCUCUCUGUGGGUCCCUAUGGGUCCCAAUGUGUCCCUAUGGGUCCCAAUGCCUCUCUCUGGGUCCCUAUGUGUCCCUAUGUGUCCCUAUGGGUCCCAAUGUGUCCCUAUGGGUCCCAAUGCCUCUCUGUGGGUCGCUAUGGGUCCCGUCAGCGCUGUGUGCCCCAUAGGCGUCGCUAUGUGUCCCUAUGUGUCCCUAUGGGUCCCUAUGUGUCCCUAUGGGUCCCUAUGGGUCCCUAUGGUCCCUAUGGGUCCCAAUGCCUCUCUAUGUGUCCCUAUGUGUCCCUAUGUGUCCCUAUGGGUCGCUAUGGGUCGCUAGGGGUCCCGUCAGCGCUGUGUGCGCCCCAUAGGCGUCGCUAUGGGUCCCUAUGUGUCCCUAUGGGUCCCAAUGCCUCUCUAUGUGUCUCUGUGGCUCUCUAUGUGUCCCUAUGUGUCCCUAUGUGUCCCUAUGGGUCCCAAUGUGUCCCUAUGGGUCCCUAUGGGUCCCUAUGUGUCCCUAUGUGUCCCUAUGGGUCCCUAUGUGUCCCUAUGGGUCCCGUCAGCGCUGUGUGCCCCAUAGGCGUCGCUAUGUGUCCCUAUGUGUCCCUAUGGGUCCCUAUGUGUCCCUAUGGGUCCCUAUGGCUUUUCUAUGGAUCUCUAGGGUCCCUAUGGGUCCUAUUGUGUCCCCAAGUGCCUCUCUGUGGGUCCCUAUGGGUCCCUAUGUGUCCCUAUGGGUCCCAAUGCUUCUCUGUGGGUCCCUAUGUGUCCCUAUGGGUCCCUAUGUGUCCCAAUGCCUCUCUAUGUGUCCCUAUGUGUCCCUAUGGCUCUCUAUGUGUCCCUAUGUGUCCCUAUGCGUCGCUAUGUGUCCCUAUGUGUCCCUAUGUGUCCCUAUGUGUCCCUAUGUGUCCCUAUGGGUCCCAAUGUGUCCCUAUGGGUCCCAAUGCCUCUCUGUGGGUCCCUAUGUGUCCCUAUGUGUCUGUAUGUGUCCCAAUGCCUCUCUAUGUGUCUCUAUGGCUCUCUAUGUGUCCCUAUGUGUCCCUAUGUGUCCCUAUGGCUCUCUAUGUGUCCCUAUGUGUCCCUAUGGGUCCCAAUGCCUCUCUGUGGGUCCCUAUGUGUCCCUAUGGGUCGCUAUGGGUCCCGUCAGCGCUGUGUGCCCCAUAGGCGUCGCUAUGUGUCCCUAUGUGUCCCUAUGUGUCCCAAUGUGUCCCUAUGGGUCCCUAUGUGUCCCUAUGGGUCCCUAUGUGUCCCAAUGCCUCUCUAUGUGUCCCUAUGUGUCCCUAUGGGUCGCUAUGGGUCCCGUCAGCGCUGUGUGCCCCAUAGGCGUCGCUAUGUGUCCCUAUGUGUCCCUAUGUGUCCCUAUGGUUCCCUAUGUGUCCCUAUGGUUCCCUAUGUGUCCCAAUGCCUCUCUGUGGGUCCCUAUGGGUCCCUAUGUGUCCCUAUGGGUCCCAAUGCUUCUCUGUGGGUCCCUAUGUGUCCCUAUGGGUCCCUAUGUGUCCCUAUGCCUCUCUAUGUGUCCCUAUGUGUCCCUAUGGGUCUCUAUGUGUCCCUAUGUGUCCCUAUGGUUCCCAAUGUGUCCCUAUGGGUCCCAAUGCCUCUCUGUGGGUCCCUAUGGGUCCCUAUGUGUCCCUAUGGCUCUCUAUCCGAUCUCUAUGGCUCUCUAUGGCUCUCUAUGUGUCCCUAUGUGUCCCUAUGUGUCCCUAUGGGUCCCAAUGUGUCCCUAUGGGUCCCAAUGCCUCUCUGUGGGUCCCUCUGGGUCCCUAUGUGUCCCUAUGGCUCUCUAUGUGUCCCAAUGCCUCUCUAUGUGUCCCUAUGUGUCCCUAUGUGUCCCUAUGGGUCCCUAUGGGUCACUAUGGGUCCCGUCAGCGCUGUGUGCGCCCCAUAGGCAUCGCUAUGUGUCCCUAUGUGUCCCUAUGUUGUCCUAUGGGUUGCUAUGUGUCCCUAUGUGUCCCUAUGGGUCCCUAUGGGUCCCAAUGUGUCCCUAUGUGUCCCUAUGGGUCCCUAUGUGUCCCAAUGCCUCUCUAUGUGUCUCUAUGGCUCUCUAUGUGUCCCUAUGUGUCCCUAUGGGUCCCAAUGUGUCCCUAUGGGUCCCAAUGCCUCUCUGUGGGUCCCUAUGGGUCUCUAUGUGUCCCUAUGGGUCCCAGUGGCCUCUCUUGUGGGUCCCUAUGGCUCUCUAUGUGUCCUAUGUGUCCCUAUGUGUCCCUAUGUGUCCCUAUGGGUCGCUAUGGGUCGCUAUGGGUCCCGUCAGCGCUGUGUGCCCCAUAGGCGUCGCUAUGUGUCCCUAUGUGUCCCUAUGGGUCCCUAUGUGUCCCUAUGGCUUUCUAUGGGAUCUCUAGGGGUCCCUAUGUGUCCCUAUGGGUCGCUAUGGGUCCCGUCAGCACUGUGUGUGCUUCAUAGGCGUCGCUAUGUGUCCUUGUGU